rnacentral:tRNA from 1 species
GGGAGAUGGCUCAGCAGUUAAGAGCACUGGCUGCUCUUCCAGAGGACCUGGGUUCUAUUCCCAGCACCCA